rnacentral:rRNA from 1 species
UACGGGGGGGGCAAGCGUUGUUCGGAAUUACUGGGCGUAAAGGGCGCGUAGGCGGCCUGCUAAGUCGGACGUGAAAUCCCUCGGCUCAACCGGGGAACUGCGUCCGAUACUGGCGAGGCUUGAAUCCGGGAGAGGGAUGUGGAAUUCCAGGUGUAGCGGUGAAAUGCGCAGAUAUCAGGAAGAACACCUAUGGCGAAGGCAGCACUCUGGGACGGUACUGACGCUGAGACGCGAAAGCGUGGGGAGCAAACAGG